GCAUGUUUACCACUGUGUUGCUUCACCUCUUCAUUUAACAACUGUCUAAAUGUGUGGGUACUGAAGAGACCAGUUGCUGGAGAUUUGAGAAAGAAAUG